AGUACAUUGAACAAAUUAUUAUUUAUGUGUUGAGUCAUAAUCACAUGUGCCCUAGUACCAGUGUACCACUCCCACCACCAACUAAGCAGAUUCGAUCUCCUCCCAUCACCUCCAUCGCAACCUCUCGACGGCAGACUAGGUUUCAUCCCCAUCUCAACCGGCGGCAGCCUAGGGCUUCAUCCCCCACCCCCAAAUCCAUGCCGCUCAGGUUGGAGAUCAAUGUGUGCCUGCUCGACCUCACUGGAUCUCAGUCCCCAUGUCGUCCUUCUACUUCUCGCGUCACUUUGAUUUUGCUCUCUAGUUUGAUUUUGUUUCCAUUGUGGUGAUUAGUGGAAAUUUUCUCAAUGGUCAGAGAGGGUCAAGUUGGUGGACUUGCACCCCACGGAGGCAUGGAUGUUGAGCCUGUACUCGAGGAGUGCCUGCAUCCGGGAUUAUCACACACAGUCAAUUUGUAGGAGAGGGGACGCCAUACAUCAAAGAUGACUAAAGAAGAGGAAGAUGAAGAAUACCUCGAAGAGGAAGAAGAUGCCCUUGCUGGUGCAGGGGGGAACACAUUUAGUUUCACAACCUUCAUGCUCUUAACCCCUCUGAUCCUGGUGCGUGGCAGAUUAGACUCCGAUGGGGAAGUCACUAGCGAGGUGGAUCAAGUUCGUGCUCUUCAGGAAGAAGUCGUCAUCCAGGUCCAGCUCCACCAAGGCCAAGAAUUUAUCGAUAAGAAUGCUGUUACGAUUUCAAGUGUGGCUCUACAUAUGCAUCUCCAGCUAUGGAGUAGGGAUUUGUUCUAGCCACUAUUGCCCUUAUUUUUCAAUAUGUGGAAAGGUGUGAGUAACAAAGGGGAAACUGCUGCCAGGAAGGAGCCCACGUUCUCUGAGAGCUCUCCAGUGAUCUCAGAGCUUGUGCUUGUUAGCGCCCAUAACAACGAGAUCAUGCGGGAGGUGGCAAAGGGUGAAAAUUCUAGCGUGCAAGAAGUGCUAGUGACUGAUGUCAGUCAAGACUUGGAGAAGCAGGUAGUGUGGGGCUGAUACGUCCAAUAAUGCGCUAGUGACUGAUGUCAGUCAAGACUUGGAGAAGCAGGCAGUGUGGGGCUGAUACAUCCAAUGAUGCUGAGAGGGUGAGUGAACAGCGAGCGGUCAUGAUGGCACAAGCUACCUUCCCUUAUUAUCUGAUGAUUUUGGAUUCAAGCUGAAAGAAGAGGCUAUGCUGAAUAAAGUACUAAAGGAGACAGUCUUGUCAAAGGUAGUUGCCAUUGAUAAAUUGCAAUCUGGUCUGGCAUCUUCACUUCGCAUCCAAGAUGUUAUGAGAAAUGAGAUCCAAAGAGUCCAGGAUGAACUUUCUUGCAUAACCCACAAAGCUAAGCAGUUGGAGCUUCAGGUAUCAUGUGUACCUUGCAUAUUUCAUAUCUAUUUUCCCUAAUAAACUAGCAGUUCAUAGUUUUUAUCUAAUCAAAAUAGGAUUUUGGUAACAGUUUCUCUUUCAUAAUGAAUUAAUCUUAGUUUGUCUAGUGUUAGCCAAUUGUAGUGGUCAAGUUGCAGUAUGUCUCAAAAUACUUAUAAGUAGGUAGACCUUUUUGCUGAAUGAGCUGGUUACCUAACGGGUAUUUCGAGGCCAACUGAUGCCACUCAUCUCUUUGAUCUAUAAAAGUAUUAGAAAUGCAUUUUAAUGAUUGAAUCAAGUUAUUUGUUGCUUGUUUGUCUUUAGCAAAUCAUUAUUUUGUAUUUUUUUGCAUAUUGCCAAUAUUUUAGGAUAAUUUUUCCCAAGUGCAGAUUAGGUCUACUAUGUGAGUGUUCAGUUAGAUAGUCCUUUGAAUGUUUCUAGAACCAGUUCUAAAGUUGAGAUAAUGUGAGGUAGCAUACAAAACAACGUAUUGUUAGAGAUGCAUACUGUCAACAAACAUUCAUUCCAGGGGUCAUCUUGAUGGUCAUAUAAGAAACACUAGGAGAAAAUGACAUAAAUUAGUAUUACACUGUCAUGUUUUUGUAUAUAAAGUAGGCCAUACAACUUCACUAGAAGUCUAGUCUAGAGACAGCAGUGGGCUAUCAGUGAAUGCUAUGUUGUUUUAAAGACCAACCCAUAAUGCUGCGAUUGUUACGGUACCAGCCCAAAUGGCAUGCUUCUUCAGGACGACAGAUGAUAUUCAUAUAUGCUAGAAUAUAAGCUCUGUUUGCGGUAUUUUCCUCCAGUGCUCCUGCUGUGUUUGCUGCACUUAACAGGUAUCCAAGAUGGAUGAGUCAAUCGAUGAGAUCCAAUAGGAUUUCUAGGAAUCUACGAAGGAGCUGGCUGCUCUUCGUGGAACACUGAAAACGGUGAUUGAAGACAGGGACCUGUCGUGGCAGGAGGUGAAGUAGCUGAGAAGAAACAUCAGCAUCAUGCUAGAACGAGGUUGUGUCGCUGAAGAAGAUCGAAGCCUUGGACAAAGACAUACUUGUCAAGGAGGGAGAGAUCACGAUAUUGCAGGACAACAUCGACAAGCCGUUCAAUAUCAUCUGCAGCCCAAGUUCGAUGCAGGAGUUCGGCAUGGGGUGAAGAUGGCUGCUAUUUUGUAAGUGAGUUGGUGGAUGAAAAUUCAAGUUAUUGUAGAAGACAACACAUUUCUUUGCAUAUUACAUCCUGCUAUGAUGUUCUGAACUAUGAUUGGUUCAACGGGUGCCAUUUUUCUCUUAGAGCUAUUGUUGACAUGGAAGAAAUGGUGGCAGCACCAGCUUAGUAUGGACAACAACUGAAAUCUCCUACAGAAGUUGUUUCUAAUGUGCUAUUGAGCUCCAUUGUGUUUUGGCCUACGCAAUCUUGUUCUCCAGUCUGCCUCCAAGAAAAGCUCUAUAGUCCCAUAGUUUCUGCUAAGGUUCAACAACUUCAGGAUCAAUUAUAGGCUGAGAAGCAAGAAAAAAUGGACUUCGUGAUGAAGCGGAAACCAUUGAUAGUAUGAAGAGGUUGAUGGAAGAAAAUAACAACCUUCUUCGUCAACUAUAAAGCUUCAAUUGAAGAAAAGUGCCUCCAUCUUAAGUUUGGUUGACUACUAUAGGACAUGCAGCCUUGUGGUAGCUAUAGUAGUAGUAGAUAUUUAUAGUUGCUCUAGAUUUGAAGUUAUAGGAUUAUUUUUAAUUAUGUUUAAUGUUUAAUAAUUUGAGUUGAAGUUAUAAGAUUUGCUUUGAAUUUUAAGUUAAAGGAUUUGAGAUAUAUGGUUUGGAGUUAUAUGAUUAUUUGAUGGAUGGAAUAUUUGUGUACAACAAAUUCAUGUGAUAUUUUGGCUAUGAUGUGUAAUAUUCUAUGACGAUAUCAAUUCAUAUGAUGUGUUCCUUUUGAUGA